AUGCUCCCAGACACUGAAAUCCAGAGCAGAGCCUGUUGCUGUCUCUUUCCUCUGCUGCUCAGCACAGGGACAGGUUCAGCUGUGCUCUCACCUGCAAGGUCUAGAUUGAUCGAUUGGAGAACCCCGUUUCUUUCCUAGGAUUGAAGCACUCUGUCUUCAAGAGCGAGUGGGGAAUGCAGAGAUAUCCUAGCAGCAAGCCCCACUUUCCAGUAACUGAAGUCAUCUGCAGACACUGAGACCGUCCUUCGGAGGUGGGGCAGCUGAGAACCAUUGAAUACGGGAAGGCGUCUGAAGGCUCGUGGAAGCAGGGAUGCAGAAACACAUCCUCAUCACCUCCCGUCUCGCCUUCUCCCUCAGGAGAGCUAGAAGAGCAGUGGAAGCUGAAAGUGCCCUGGCCAGUGAGAUUCUUUAGCAGCUAAGCAACAGGCUGAAGUAGCUUCUGUGUUGGGCAAGGAGGCUUCUAACCAUCUGAGCCUACCAGUGGAAAAUCAAGCAGACCCGUAAAGCAAGACCUUACAUCCCACAGGCGUGGAGAAUUGGGUUAUGGCACUAAGCAAUGGAUUCCCAUCAGCCAAGGAAAAAAAAUGAUGCUGAUGAAUUUUAAAGUUCAUGUAGUCGGAGAUGUCCUGAUGCCUGCCACAAUGAACUUGACUGAUACAACCCAACAAGCAGAUGCUUGGUGUCUGGCCUGAAGCAUUGUUUAGCGGGAUGAGAGAUUAUAGGGCUCUUUACAAGUGAUCACCUACCAUGUAUGUGGGUAAAGGUUGACUACACAACCACCGUUCUGUAAAAAUGUGUUAAUCACAAGAAACAUACCACAAACCAUCAGAAAGAUUUGGCCUAGAUGUCCUGGAGAUAUUGGCACAACAAACAAGCAAACAAAACUCCAAAACAAAAGAAAUUCACAAACAAACAACAAGACCAAUGGCAUGUUUCAGUCCGUUGACUUUUUACCAGACAAGAAAUAAAAACUCUUCCUGGCUUGGGU
rnacentral:lncRNA from 7 species